CCUCCGGGGCACCGGGGCCGCCUCCCGACCCCCCCCUCCUUCCUUCCACCCCCCCCCCCCACAGCCCAGGCCCCGCGACCCCACCGGGGGGGCCGGGGCCGGGCCGCGGAGCCGCCGCAGAUCGGUGCAUUUAGUGUUAGCAUUGGGAGAUGGACCUGACCUGCCUCUGAUGCUGCUUUUGGCUGGUGAGCGAGGUGUCUGCUUUCCCUGCCACCUCACGGGGAGGCUGGGCACGGAGCAUCCCACAGCUGGACCAGGCUGCGAGACCUGCUGGCUGCCAGCUGCCGACUUGUGCCCGUCCUCUGCCUCGGGAAGGCUCCAGGCAUCUCGACUGGCAUGCUAGGAGUCACCUGAAGCACAGGCCAGACGGACAGACCGCCGUUUGGGGGCUCAGCAGCGUUAACAGCAGGCUGCUCUCCCUCCUUGUGGACAGCACAUGGGUCCGCAGCUGUCCUCCCCUGGCCGCCGCCUGCCUCUCCCCACGAGGGUUGCCCCUCCGCGAGCAGCUUUGGUGGCCAGAGCAGUGGCAGAUAAAAUCGGACGGGCUGCUUGAAGCAGUUUCUGUCUCCCCUCACCCUGUACCUGAGCCAUCUGUGCUGCCUGCCGGCAGCAGGGAUGGGAGAUUAACUCUCGCAUCUCCCCCCCGAGCAGCUCCAGCUCUCGGUGCGAGAUGUGGGCACCAUCCCCAGCUGUGGUGGGCUCAGUGCUGGGCCCUUGGGGAGGGGACACAGGGGGCUCAUUCUGCCCUAGGGCUGGGGGCGAGGGCAGGAGCCCCGCCAUCUGACUCCAAUCCCGUGCCAUAUGCGACUCGAAGUCCUUAGAUGCCCUCUGCUGCCAUGUACCAGAAUUAACAGAUGGCUCUGCGUAACCAGACUCGGGUUUGCGGAGGCUCGUUAUUAUCUCCGUUUUUGUAAACGAACAGGGGAGGGGAAAUAAAAUCCGGAAUUACCACAGAACAUGCAAAGCUUUGUCAAGGUUAACCUCGGACUGGGUGUCUCUUCUGCCUUUCGGUGCCACUGUCCUGAACUUUAAAAUUUUAGCAUUACUUUUAGCUUUCUUUCCAGACCUCACUUCUCUGAUAACUGAUAGAUAAGCAGGUCCCUCUGGGAAUUAACUUGGCCCAGAGAGAUGCCCGGCAGAGUUUUUCCCCGGCAUUUCAGGCCCCAUCGUGCUAAAUGGAAGGAGGCUGUGAAACCUGCCGCUGUGGUCAGGCUUUGUUGGGGUGGGGGCUAAGGGAUGCUUCAGCAAUUGGCCGCCUCUUUUGCAUGAGACAGGCCAGCGCCCAGGAGCCUGCAUCUACAUGGAACAAGAUUGAUGCUUCUGCCCCACAUACUUGCCUGUGUUAGGGCAGUUUUUGUGUGCUGGCAGGCACGCAGCAAUCCCAAAUCGAACACAGCGAAUCCUGGAGGGAAUCCCUCGACAGGCUCCAAGAGUCGAGUGGUUUUGCCGUGCGUGAGCUUUCGCUGUGUUUGUUACACCAGCUCCCGUUCCCUCCCCUGAGGAAAACCCAGGCGAGCACUUCUAAUUCCCCAGCCCGCUUCCUGACACAGAUGUGAGUGAGCGGGUUUGAUCUGUAUGAAGUCUGCAGCCCCCGUUUGUGCACAUUUCUGAAGCUGCCUUACUUCUCCCGAGGCCAGCCUGUUGUGCUGGAGGGGGCUGGCAGCGGCGCGCAGGCAGCACAGCGGAGCAGCAGCAGCUCUCCGGCAGCACGGGAUGGGAUGGGAUGGACGGGAUGGGAUGGGAUGGACGGGAUGGGAUGGGAUGGGAUGGAUGGGAUGGGAUGGCACACAUGACCGCAGGACCCGCUGCAGGUGGGCGAGGGGACGGGCGAGAGGGACGUGCAGGAUCCUCUGCCAGGCUGGCGGAAAGAGAAAGCCAGCGUGCAGCGGCGGGGCGAGCUCUCACGCUACUGCUCCCUUUUCCCUCCCGCCCUCCCCUUUUAGCCACCCGGGUGUAGAAUAUGCUGCCUACAUUGUUCAGGAGCUUUCUUUUUCUUUUUCCUUUUAUUUUCUUUUUCUUUUUUCUUUUUCCAGAACACAAUCUCCAGCUCACAGAAGUCCGCAGCAAAGUCUUGCUGUGAAUGGGGUCUUUGUUCUGUGAGACUGUUUCUGAAGACUCCUGGCUCUCUGUUCGUCUUUGCAUACGAGGCUGAAACACAAAUUUGUCCAGAUGCUUUUGUUUUCAGCACGUUCGCGUCCUCAUAACUCCCCCUUUCUCACAGAAGUGCAUGAAGCUGUCUGGUAGGUGUGCUGUAUGUUGUCACGGUGGCUAACCUGCAAAGCUGUGCUGAUUUAUACCACCUGACAGCACGCUCCGUAGCCUGUAUUUUUACUAAAUCCAUAUUUUUCCAAUUUCUUCAUGCUCUUGCAGUGGCAGUUUUUUUCUAUCCAUCGGGGAGUGGGAUCCUGCAUCCAGAGUAUGUAAAUAACAGCUGUUUCCACUCAAUUUGCAUUUAUAUACUUAACACUUCAAAAUAGAUUAUUUCUAGAAGCUUUCACAAUCUGGUCACAAUUCCUACUUAGUCAGAGGUACUGGGGAGAUGUUAAUGAAACCCCUCUGGACUAGCUGAGAGAAAAAAAAAAAAGAUACAGCAGCAACAAUGAAAUUCCCUGAACAGGAUGGAUCGGUUAUGCCUCUGAUGGUCAUACUUCAACAAGGAAAGGAAGGAUCUCUUUUCAUCUCCUUGGGCACAUUCAGCAUCAUUUCUAAGCGGGUGACGGUUUUGCCAGGUAAGGAGAGAAACUGCCACAACUGUGCUGAACUGGUGGAGCAUUUCUAGUGAAAUUAAUUUAUUGUGUGGGUGUAGCCAAAAAGGAAAAAUAGUGGCAAAUCAUUUAUAGCGAAAAGUUUAUUUGCCAGUGUCACAGCUAUUUAAAUGAAUUAACCUAUUACAUCCUGAGAAGAAAAGCAGCUCUUUAAUUUGUUUUGAUAUGACUACUUUCUUGUGUUGCUAUUUCACUAGCCCUGAAAUGAAAAUACAGCAUUUUAAUUAAAAAUUAUAAAAUGGAGAUUUUAAGAAAUUAAUGUCCAUUUAUUAUUUUUGUCCAGAAAAGUUUGAAAGCCUUUCACCUCUGUAUUUUCGCAAAUGCCUCAACCUGAACUAUUUUGUUAGAUUUCUUGGAUCCUCUGAAGGCUGAGGAUUAUGGAAUAUUAAUAUUUAGUGACCUUCAGUUCAUGUAAUUUACUCUGAUGUGGACUAUUGGAAGAGAUAUUUGUUCCUAAACCCAGAUUUAUUAUUAUUAUUAUUAUUAUUAUUAUUAUUAUUAUUAUUAUUAUUAUUAUUAUUUGUUAUAGAAAUGCACUUUUCUGUAUCUGUAAUUUUGUUUAUCCAGAAGAAAAAUACUUUUAUGUUUACUGCAGUCCCAACUGGGGCAUCUCUGGACUGGAUCGGACGAUGCUGAGGACUCAAGUUGUUUGGGGAGAGCAACGAUUGUGUGUGUGAGUUGUUGCUUUUGCAUGUCCCAACAAGCCUGUACCAGAGUCAUUUAAACUACGCAAGAAGAACAAAGACGAUCUGAGCUCAGGUUGUCCGUAAAAACAACAUGGGUUCCAGCUACCUGGUUUCAGAGGGCAUGUUUGUAUUUCUAAAUUUAAAAAACUUCCUGAUGCCAGGAGGACUGACUUAUAUUCGUGAUGGCUGGGGCUAGUUCCCUCUAGAGAGGGCUCCCACUUCCACACCCCUCAGCACUCCUUGGGCUCUCUGUGGUGCCCCCGCAGACCCAGCAUGUAAUUAUGAUUAUUAUUUUUUUUGUGUAUCUUUUCAGUUCAAAGUAUCUGAAAUGAUGUGCAACUGUCCUGCAGCCUGCUGUAACAGUGCUUUCCUAGAGUGAAAGCAAAGGUAUGUAUUGCACGUUCUGGGAUGUGGUUAGGCUUGAGGGUGCACGGCCCACUUGGGUAGCUGGAAGAUAGCACAGAGCGGAGUGAAACAAGACGUGGCCUUGGGACUCUCCCUGCGAGGGUGUGUGGCCUUAAAGAGGGCUGAAAGAGAACUGGGGAAGAAGGGAGGGUGAGCAGCGGCCCAGAGCUUGACCCGCAGCAGUAAGGACACGCUCAGAGGGGCCCAAGGUAUCAGCCUGCUGCACUGUACCUGUACUCUGGUAAAGGAAAGGAGUUUUAUAACAAUACAAGGUGUUCUUGGAAAAUGACAAAUGAAUUCAUGCUUAAAGUCAGGAUUAAAAAUUACAAAAUAACCAAAAUUAUGAAAAGAGAUGUGAGCCUUUACAAUACUGUAUACUAGCACAAACAAAUUGUAUUAUAAUUAGAUUUCAAGGAAAAAUUUUCUCUGCCAUUAGUUUAUUUUUUAACUGAAAGCCUCAAAGUGUCUUAACUGAAGUAGGAGUUGAAGAGCACUGCUGCAGCACAGCUCUGAUCCAGUACAACUCCUACAGAUCCUGACCAGAAAAAUGUGUGUGUUUUGAAAAGAAACAAUACAUUAACUUGAACAUUUGAGUAAUGAGAAAGGCUAGCAGUGUUUAAGAAGCACUAGUCUUUACAUGAAACUAUAAAGCUCUGCUUUAGUGAGUAGGAAAUAUGUCUGUACAGCAGGGCUUUGCUUUAAUGGUUUAGACUUUUACUUAGGCUUCUAUCCUACAGGAUAAUGGCUUAAUAGAGUAGCCUAAUCUAACACAGCCGCUUUUCAUUGUUCAUUUGAAUUUUCUGUGAUACUUACAUGGUUAAACUUCUAUUAGUUUUGGCAGAAGAGAUUACAAAAAUCAGCUCGUCCAGAAUUCUUUUUCUAUGACAUCUCAUUUUGCUGGUAGAAAGAUUCUUUCGUUGUGGAAUUGUAAACUUUGGUAGCAGUCAAAACUGGCAUCGUUUAAAAUAGUAAAUUGGGUCUGAUCCAAGACCGUUGUUUCAUCUUGACAAGCAAUAAAGCUGAGUGUAAGCACAA